rnacentral:rRNA from 1 species
UUGAAUUGAAGAGUUUGAUCAUGGCUCAGAUUGAACGCUGGCGGCAGGCUUAACACAUGCAAGUCGAACGGUAGCAGGAGAAAGCUUGCUUUCUUGCUGACGAGUGGCGGACGGGUGAGUAAUGCUUGGGAAUCUGGCUUAUGGAGGGGGAUAACUACUGGAAACGGUAGCUAAUACCGCGUAAUAUCUUCGGAUUAAAGGGUGGGACCUUUUGGCCACCUGCCAUAAG